rnacentral:lncRNA from 1 species
UUAAGAGCAACUCCCAAAAUUUCAGAGAAGAGUCAAACUGACAGAUCUAGCAGGUUUUAUCAUUGUCAGAAUAGCAUAAAUGAAAUAUAUGAAAACAUGAUAGAAAAUCUUGAAGCGAAUGGAUAACCAAUAAGCCAGCCACCCCAAUUCACGCACCUAUGUGAUAGCACGCUCCCCACGCCCCGGUUGCAAGCGAAUGCGCCGCCGCAGGCAGCGAGUUCUGCACAACCAUUGGCGCGGGUGUCUUCCCCGUCACCGGAGCUAAAAAGUUCAGAGGGUGAGGCAGCUAACCCAUGUAGCACAUACACCUUAAAACUGGAACCACGAGCCAUGUAUGAUGGAAAGUAACCAGUUCAAAAUCCAUCCAGCUCGCUCUAGAACUACAUACAACGAUGGACAUUUUAACAUCAAAAUUUAAAAAUAUGAAACGACCGACAACGGCACUAGCCAGAACACCAACAAUGCACAUGAGCUAAAGAGAAAGUUGGGUAGCAGGGUGAAGAACUCGCAGCAAAUCAAAAAAAAUGUAACAGCAAUCUCACCUUCGAGCAACCAUAAAAUCAACUUCAACGCAUGUGGUUAUCCCAAUCUGCAGGUAGCUCUCCAGACAAAUCUGGCCUUGUGGAAGAGGAUGGGGGAAACGAAAUAAAAACUACUACAAUUCCCACAAAUCCACUUCAAUUUGGCGACAUGGCGCAGGAGGGUUGUUGCCGUGUGUGCCUGGGAGGCGAAGGUUGCAUGGUGGGAGACAAAUGAGCGAUUCCUCAUCCAUGAAUUACAUAUUAGCACCUGCAUAAUUGUCGCACGGCCCGUGAUGGAUGAGCUCCACAGGUGACGCCCAUGACCUCCGGAGAAGGGGUGGGAGUCGAGUGGAGGUCCUCGCUGGGGAAGGGUUGGGGCGGUGGGAUCUAGAUCGAGAUGAAGACGAGAGAGAGAGAG